rnacentral:tRNA from 1 species
GCUCGGCUGGUGCACGGCACGGGCGCUGCGUUCCUCCGCGCCGGGGGUGGAGCCGCCGUCCCGGGUUCCGGUCCCGGGCCGGCGC